UUCCUUUGGCAGCACAUAUACUAAAAUUGGAAUGAUACAGAGAAGAUUAGCAUGGCCCCUGUGCAAGGAUGGCACACAAAUUAGUGAAGCAUUCUGUAUUUUA
rnacentral:snRNA from 1 species